UGUGUUUUUAAGCUCUCGAUACUAUUGUCAGUCAAGAAACCAAAUAUCCAAGUCCUACUGAGAAAGGACUUGGGCUGUGUUUUCCAGGUGGGUCCCACCCAGGGCAUGUGUUUCUGCAGGGAAAUCGGGUCAGAUGGCAGAGGUGGUCCUGGUGGCUGUGGUGGAGGCAUCUGUCAAGGUCCUGCUUCUUGAGCUCUGUUUCGCAUUUCCGAGGUGGUGUUCUGCAGAAAGAAGACAGCAAGCUGUCAGUGCACAUGGACUAUGAAAGUCCCGUCAAGUUAGUCACACGGGGUCAUUGCAUGGCACAUCUCCUUCAUGUCCUCCGUGUGAUAGCUACAGUGUGGCUUGGCUCAGCCGCCCACAUCCACCCUGAGCCUGCCUUCCUGCUGGGUCCCACGGUGCUUCUGGAGCAGAGAUCCCACCUCUCUCCAGAGUACAGUGGCCUCCAUCUAUGUGUGUGGAUGACAUGCGUGCAGUGUUCACAGCGGUCAGAAGAGGGCGUUGGAGCCUCGGGACUGGAGUGACAGACAGUUGUGAGCUGCCAUGUGGGUGCUGGGAACCAAGUCUGGAUCCUCCAGGAGAGCAGCCAGUGCUCUUAGGCACUGAGCCAUCUCUCCAUCCCGUCCAUACAUGCUUUUAGCUGUUUUGUCUAAUUUUAAGUGUCAUUAAUUUUGUUUAAAAAGAAAAUUCAAACUUGGGAAUGCUGCUUACAUAGGAAUAGGAAAAACAGGAGGGUUUGAAAUUGCGGUUUUACAUUCUUUUCUUACAUCUUACUGCUACUUAAUAAUGCCUAAUUCCAGAAUCACUUAAAAGUUA